GCGUGCGCAGCUAUAAUGCAGUCGACGAGUUCUCGUUGAUGAUCGGUGCUUGCACCGAGAUUCAACAUGGAACGAGUGGCGGACGGGUGAGUAACACGUGGGUAACCUGCCCUUAAGUGGGGGAUAACAUUUGGAAACAGAUGCUAAUACCGCAUAGAUCCAAGAACCGCAUGGUUCUUGGCUGAAAGAUGGCGUAAGCUAUCGCUUUUGGAUGGACCCGCGGCGUAUUAGCUAGUUGGUGAGGUAAUGGCUCACCAAGGCGAUGAUACGUAGCCGAACUGAGAGGUUGAUCGGCCACAUUGGGACUGAGACACGGCCCAAACUCCUACGGGAGGCAGCAGUAGGGAAUCUUCCACAAUGGACGCAAGUCUGAUGGAGCAACGCCGCGUGAGUGAAGAAGGCUUUCGGGUCGUAAAACUCUGUUGUUGGAGAAGAAUGGUCGGCAGAGUAACUGUUGUCGGCGUGACGGUAUCCAACCAGAAAGCCACGGCUAACUACGUGCCAGCAGCCGCGGUAAUACGUAGGUGGCAAGCGUUAUCCGGAUUUAUUGGGCGUAAAGCGAGCGCAGGCGGUUUUUUAAGUCUGAUGUGAAAGCCCUCGGCUUAACCGAGGAAGCGCAUCGGAAACUGGGAAACUUGAGUGCAGAAGAGGACAGUGGAACUCCAUGUGUAGCGGUGAAAUGCGUAGAUAUAUGGAAGAACACCAGUGGCCGAAGGCGGCUGUCUGGGUCUGUAACUGACGCUGAGGCUCGAAAGCAUGGGUAGCCGAACAGGAUUAGAUACUCUGGUAGUCCAUGCCGUCAAACGAUGAUGCUAGGUGUUGGAGGGUUCCGCCCUUCAGUGCCGCAGCUUAACCGCAAUAAAGCAUUUCCGCCCUGGGGGGGAGUUA
rnacentral:rRNA from 1 species